rnacentral:lncRNA from 1 species
AAGCUUCAGUUUGAAAUCUGCCCUCAAGUUUCCAUUGUACCCACUUUCUUUGGAUGAGCUUGUCACCUCAGGAAUCAGCAGCAUCCUGUUGCAUCAAGUCAUCUGUUCCUUUCUUGUAGUCACACUUCAAAAGUCCCUGCAUUGCUCCACUUCUCUUUAGUGUCUAUCCUGUGAUAUCCACAUAGAAAUGGCAUUGUAAACUUUAUCAUGAUGUAUGCUGACAACCUGGGACCAGGUUGAAUUUUGGCAGACAGGGCUAGGGAAAUACAAACAGUGCAUGUGACUCAUAGUGUGCCUCUUUACAGAUAGAAACCCAUCUCUGUCCCUGAGAUCAUCCUGAGUUUCUUCAGUUUCUCCAGCAUAUGAGGAGGGAGGCAAAGGGUGGAUGCAAAAGGAGAAGUCAAAAGAACAUGCAAGAUAUCUGUGUCAAAUUAUGGAAAUGGCUGCAGUACAGAGAUGAUUAGAUUCUGACUUGAAUCUGAAAUUGAAGGACACUGACUUGCAACACCAACCUGCAGAUGACAAAAUAACAAGAAGCUGAGGACUGGCUGAUGACAUUUGUUCUGACAGUACCAAUACGAGCCCAAGCGCCACCUGCACAGAGUUAAGAUUGUUUCAAACAGAAUCCAGCUAAAAACGUGAGACCAUAGACCUGCGAAGGGGGGAGCACCGUACGAGAGAGCGGACCCUGCCAUGGGCAUUAAACUGUGCGGCGUUUCUUCUGACCAGCGACUCAGAGGCAGCUCCUGAAAGACUGGGACUGAGCCCGGCACUGGUGAAGUGCUGAUGCCGAAGGGGUGGACCUGACCCUGGGGUGCAGCUCCCGAGGGGCCCGGAUUGCCGGGGGGUUCCUGCCUGCUCGCUAGUGAUGCUCCACUGGGCAGGCGGGAGGAGGUCACGCCUGGGUGCAGGAGUGAAAGUCACGUUCAGGGAAGUGUGGACUGAAUGAAGGACACGGUAAGCUUCCAGCCAUGUGGCAGGUUGAUGGAUAGCGAAGAUGGUGAUGGUGGGGAGAAUGGUAAGGAAAAUUCAGGAGCUGGUUUUACAUCUUUCAGUUGUGCAGGCUCAGAGGCAAAAUGGCUAUCAGCCUCUUAGUUAUACCAAAGGAAGAAACCCCAGCUCUUGGCAGUGGUGACCCUUCUACCUUGCUUUGGUUAGUUUGGUUUUUUUCAAGAUGCUGGGAAACAAAGCACAGCCAGCCUCCUGACUUUUUGUAAGUUAUAAAUGCUGUACAAAAUUCUAGUUUCAACACCAGAAAAUGUUUUCUCCUGUUAUUCAGAGUGACUCCAGAUGCUGAUGUACUUAGUUACACAGCACAAGUAACCCAACUGGAAUGAAGAAGCAAGGUAAUUGAGUUUAUAUUCAUCUGUCAAUAUUCCCAAGGGACAGACUGUUCAGCCUGCCAAGUUUUCUCUGCUUAUGCAUGCAGAGCACAAACUUAAACCAACUGGAGAUUCCCACAGUAGAUUCUCCCUGGUGAAUAGGGGAUCUCUUCUGCUGUAAUGUGGUGAAGGUGUCGUGAUUCCUUCUACCAUAACCAUUUCCCCUGUCUCACUGUAUCAAGAGAUGUGCUGAAUAUUAGAUAGGAAAAGAAAGAAAAAAAUCAUGGUGGAACUGAGUUUUUCUUCAUCAAAUAUUUGCCUGACCCAAGUCCCAUUAUCAGAGGAAAAACCAUCAACUUCUUCCUAGGCUUUUCUAUGCUUCUCACUAUUCUAAUAUCUGAGAGAUUAACAUAUAUUUCUUCAUCUUUCUAUUCUAGUGAGGCAAAGGAUUGUCAUUCUUAUAUGUGAAGCAGAACAUGGGGAUUAAAGCAAAGACUUUUUGAGUGAGCAAUCUGGGACAAUUUUAAGUGAACAUUUAGAAUCAUAUGAUCAUAAAAUAUGCUGAGUUGGAAGGGACCCACAAGGAUCAUUGAGUCCAACUCCUGCUUCUGCACAGGGAAAGCCCAAGAAUUCACACCACGUGCCUUAGAGUGUUGUCCAAACAUUUCUUAAACUCUAGCAGUCUAGGUGAUGUGACCACUUCCCUGAGGAGCCUGUUCCAGUGCUCAACCACCCUCUGGGUGAAAAACCUUUUCCCAGUACCCAGCCUAAAC